rnacentral:rRNA from 1 species
GCAGUAGCCGCGGUAAUACGAAGGGGGCUAGCGUUGUUCGGAUUUACUGGGCGUAAAGCGCACGUAGGCGGAUCGAUCAGUCAGGGGUGAAAUCCCAGAGCUCAACUCUGGAACUGCCUUUGAUACUGUCGAUCUGGAGUAUGGAAGAGGUGAGUGGAAUUCCGAGUGUAGAGGUGAAAUUCGUAGAUAUUCGGAGGAGCACCAGUGGCGAAGGCGGCUCACUGGUCCAUUACUGACGCUGAGGUGCGAAAGCGUGGGGAGCAAACAGGAUUAGAUACCCGGGUAGUCCCUGUCUCUUAUAC